UACGUAGGGUGCAAGCGUUGUCCGGAAUUAUUGGGCGUAAAGAGCUCGUAGGCGGUGUGUUACGUCGGCCGUGAAAACCUGCAGCUUAACUGUGGGCGUGCGGUCGAUACGGGCAUCACUGGAGUUCGGCAGGGGAGACUGGAAUUCCUGGUGUAGCGGUGAAAUGCGCAGAUAUCAGGAGGAACACCGGUGGCGAAGGCGGGUCUCUGGGCCGAUACUGACGCUGAGGAGCGAAAGCGUGGGGAGCGAACAGG
rnacentral:rRNA from 1 species